rnacentral:rRNA from 1 species
CCAACAGGGAUUGCCUCAGUAACGGCGAGUGAAGCGGCAACAGCUCAAAUUUGAAAUCUGGCUCACGCCCGAGUUGUAAUUUGUAGAGGAUGUUUCGGGUGAAGCCGCGGUCCAAGUCCCUUGGAACAGGACGUCAUAGAGGGUGAGAACCCCGUACCUGGCUGCCGGUGCCCCCCGCUGUGAAACUCCUUCGACGAGUCGAGUUGUUUGGGAAUGCAGCUCUAAAUUGGUGGUAAAUUCCAUCUAAAGCUAAAUACCGGCCAGAGACCGAUAGCGCAAAAGUAGAGUGAUCGAAAGAUGAAAAGCACUUUGAAAAGAGAGUUAAAAAGUACGUGAAAUUGUUGAAAGGGAAGCGCUU